rnacentral:rRNA from 1 species
GACGAACGCUGGCGGCGCGCUUAACACAUGCAAGUCGAGCGAAGCGGCGGACGGGUGAGUAACACGUGAGUAACCUGCCUUAGACAUUGGGAUAGCCUCGGGACACCGGGAUUAAUACCAAAUGUUCUACGAUGGACUCGCUUCCCAUUAGCUAGUUGGUGAGGUAACGGCCCACCAAGGCGACGAUGGGUAGCCGGCCUGAGAGGGUGAACGGCCACAUUGGAACUGAGAAACGGUCCAAACUCUACGGGAGGCAGCAGUGGGGAAUAUUGCACAAUGGAGGGAACUCUGAUGCAGCGAGGCCGGUGGAACGAAGAAGGCUUUCGAGUCGUAAAGUUCUGUUAUAUGGGAAGCGGUACCAUAAGAAAAAGCCCCGGCUAACUACGUGACAGCAGCCGCGGUAAUUC